UUUGUACUCACUCCAUCCCAAAAUUCUUGUCUUAAAUUUGUUUAAAUACGGAUGUAUCUAGUUACAUUUUAGUGUUAGAUACAUCCGUAUCUAAACAAAUGUAAGACAAGAAUUUUGGGACGGAGGGAAUACUAC
rfam:Triticum aestivum genome assembly, contig: Triticum_aestivum_CS42_TGACv1_scaffold_329840_4BS